UUGCGUAGGCGUUUUGCGUAGGUUGGAUAUACUGCUAUGCAUUUCUCCUAGGCAUCA
rnacentral:pre_miRNA from 1 species